AUUGAACGCUGGCGGCAGGCCUAACACAUGCAAGUCGAACGAGUGGCGGACGGGUGAGUAAUGUCUGGGAAACUGCCCGAUGGAGGGGGAUAACUACUGGAAACGGUAGAUAAUACCGCAUACCAUCGGAUGUGCCCAGAUGGGAUUAGCUAGUAGGUGGGGUAACGGCUCACCUAGGCGACGAUCCCUAGCUGGUCUGAGAGGAUGACCGGCCACACUGGGCUUUCGACACGGUCCAGACUCCUACGGGAGGCAGCAGUGGGGAAUAUUGCACAAUUGGCGCAAGCCUGAUGCAGCCAUGCCCCGUGUAUGAAGAAGGCCUUCGGGUUGUAAAGUACUUUCAGCGAGGAGGCGUUGCUCGCAGAAGAAGCACCGGCUAACUCCGUGCCAGCAGCCGCGGUAAUUC
rnacentral:rRNA from 1 species